UUAAUUUUAAACGUUAACUUUAAUCCAUGUUUUAAAUCUGUUCUUGUCAGUUUAAUCGCGGACAUGUCCUUUCAGUGAGGACUGUGUAAUGAAUUGAUUUUGGGAACAGGGGGCUGGGUUAGGAGCUUGCUCCAGCCGCCUCGUGCAUGGACCUGGUAUGGCAGUGCCGCCGGGAACGGUGCGGCUCCU